rnacentral:rRNA from 1 species
GAUGAACGUUGGCGGCGUGCCUAAUACAUGCAAGUCGAGCGAACAGAUAAGGAGCUUGCUCCUUUGACGUUAGCGGCGGACGGGUGAGUAACACGUGGGUAACCUACCUAUAAGACUGGGAUAACUUCGGGAAACCGGAGCUAAUACCGGAUAACAUUUGGAACCGCAUGGUUCUAAAGUGAAAGAUGGUUUUGCUAUCACUUAUAGAUGGACCCGCGCCGUAUUAGCUAGUUGGUAAGGUAACGGCUUACCAAGGCGACGAUACGUAGCCGACCUGAGAGGGUGAUCGGCCACACUGGAACUGAGACACGGUCCAGACUCCUACGGGAGGCAGCAGUAGGGAAUCUUCCGCAAUGGGCGAAAGCCUGACGGAGCAACGCCGCGUGAGUGAUGAAGGGUUUCGGCUCGUAAAACUCUGUUAUUAGGGAAGAACAAACGUGUAAGUAACUAUGCACGUCUUGACGGUACCUAAUCAGAAAGCCACGGCUAACUACGUGCCAGCAGCCGCGGUAAUACGUAGGUGGCAAGCGUUAUCCGGAAUUAUUGGGCGUAAAGCGCGCGUAGGCGGUUUCUUAAGUCUGAUGUGAAAGCCCACGGCUCAACCGUGGAGGGUCAUUGGAAACUGGGAAACUUGAGUGCAGAAGAGGAAAGUGGAAUUCCAUGUGUAGCGGUGAAAUGCGCAGAGAUAUGGAGGAACACCAGUGGCGAAGGCGACUUUCUGGUCUGUAACUGACGCUGAUGUGCGAAAGCGUGGGGAUCAAACAGGAUUAGAUACCCUGGUAGUCCACGCCGUAAACGAUGAGUGCUAAGUGUUAGGGGGUUUCCGCCCCUUAGUGCUGCAGCUAACGCAUUAAGCACUCCGCCUGGGGAGUACGACCGCAAGGUUGAAACUCAAAGGAAUUGACGGGGACCCGCACAAGCGGUGGAGCAUGUGGUUUAAUUCGAAGCAACGCGAAGAACCUUACCAAAUCUUGACAUCCUUUGAAAACUCUAGAGAUAGAGCCUUCCCCUUCGGGGGACAAAGUGACAGGUGGUGCAUGGUUGUCGUCAGCUCGUGUCGUGAGAUGUUGGGUUAAGUCCCGCAACGAGCGCAACCCUUAAGCUUAGUUGCCAUCAUUAAGUUGGGCACUCUAGGUUGACUGCCGGUGACAAACCGGAGGAAGGUGGGGAUGACGUCAAAUCAUCAUGCCCCUUAUGAUUUGGGCUACACACGUGCUACAAUGGACAAUACAAAGGGCAGCUAAACCGCGAGGUCAUGCAAAUCCCAUAAAGUUGUUCUCAGUUCGGAUUGUAGUCUGCAACUCGACUACAUGAAGCUGGAAUCGCUAGUAAUCGUAGAUCAGCAUGCUACGGUGAAUACGUUCCCGGGUCU